UAAGGAAUAUUGGUCAAUGGACGCAAGUCUGAACCAGCUAUGCCGCGUGCAGGAUGAAGGCCCUACGGGUUGUAAACUGCUUUUGUACGGGAAGAAACCCUUGAUUUAGAUCGAGGCUGACGGUACCGUAAGAAUAAGGAUCGGCUAACUCCGUGCCAGCAGCCGCGGUAAUACGGAGGAUCCAAGCGUUAUCCGGAUUUAUUGGGUUUAAAGGGUGCGUAGGCGGAUUGAUAAGUCAGUGGUGAAAUCCUGCAGCUUAACUGCAGAACUGCCAUUGAUACUGUCAAUCUUGAGUACAGUUGAGGUGGGCGGAAUGUGUCAUGUAGCGGUGAAAUGCUUAGAUAUGACACAGAACACCGAUUGCGAAGGCAGCUCGCUAAACUGUAACUGACGCUGAGGCACGAAAGCAUGGGUAGCAAACAGG
rnacentral:rRNA from 1 species